UAUCUUUUCAGUACUGAGUUGUGACAGAUCUACAGUGCAGCCAAUAGUCUUGGCUCUUAUGCUCAUUUCAAAAGGACGGAUACCAGGAAAUAUACAGAGAUCAAUUGCAGUACUACAGUUUAAAGGGCCACUCUCUCAACAACCCUUGUACUACCAGUGCUAACUACAAAAACAACUGUAAGUGAAGAGAAAGACCUGUUGAUGGUGGUCAGGAUUUAAGGCUUUGCAUCUGUAAGAUUUGCAUGUGACACCGUGCAAGUGUGGGGAUUAGAGGACAGCUCAUGAGAGUCACUUCUCCUCUGCCACCACGUGGUCCCCACAGAUUGAAGUCAUGGUUCUAAAUAUGGCAAAUUGGGAACAAAACACCCAUGGAAGGAGUUACAGAGACAAAGUUUGGAGCUGUGACAAAAGGAUGGACCAUCUAGAGACUGCCGCACCCGGGGAUCCAUCCCAUGAUCAACCUCUAAAUGCUGACACCAUUGCAUACACUAGCAAGAUUUUGCUGAAAGGACCCAGAUGUAGCUGUCUCUUGUGAGACUAUGCCUGUGCCUAGCAAACACAGAAGUGGAUGCUCACAGUAAGCUAUUGGAUGGAUCACAGGGCCCCCAAUGGAGGAGCUAGAGAAAGUACCCAAGGAGGUAAAGGGAACUGCAACCCUGUAGGUGCAACAUUAUGAACUAACCAGUACCCCGGAGCUCUUGACUCUAGCUGCAUAUGUAUGAAAAGAUGGCCUAGUUAGCCAUCACUGGAAAGAGGCCCAUUGGACUUGCAAACUUUAUAUGCCCCAGUACAGGGGAAUACCAGGGCCAAAAAGUGGCAAUGGGUGGGUAGGGGAGUGAGGGGCAGGGAGGGUAUGGGGGACUUUUGGGAUAGCAUUGGAAAUGUAAAUGAGGAAAAUACCUAAUAAAAAAUAUUUUUAAAAAAA